rnacentral:rRNA from 1 species
AUUGAACGCUGGCGGAAUGCUUUACACAUGCAAGUCGAGCGGCAGCGCGGGGCAACCUGGCGGCGAGCGGCGAACGGGUGAGUAAUACAUCGGAACGUGCCCAGACGUGGGGGGAUAACUACUCGAAAGAGUGGCUAAUACCGCAUACGAUCUGAGGAUGAAAGCGGGGGAUCGCAAGACCUCGCGCGUCUGGAGCGGCCGAUGGCAGAUUAGGUAGUUGGUGAGGUAAAGGCUUACCAAGCCUGCGAUCUGUAGCUGGUCUGAGAGGAUGAUCAGCCACACUGGGACUGAGACACGGCCCAGACUCCUACGGGAGGCAGCAGUGGGGAAUUUUGGACAAUGGGCGAAAGCCUGAUCCAGCCAUUCCGCGUGCAGGAUGAAGGCCCUCGGGUUGUAAACUGCUUUUGUACAGAACGAAAAGCUCUGGCUAAUACCUGGAGUCCAUGACGGUACUGUAAGAAUAAGCACCGGCUAACUACG